rnacentral:rRNA from 1 species
UACAGAGGUCCCAAGCGUUGUUCGGAUUCACUGGGCGUAAAGGGUGCGUAGGCGGUCGGGUAAGUCUGAUGUGAAAUCUCACAGCUUAACUGUGAAACUGCAUUGGAUACUAUCCGGCUCGAGGAAUGGAGGGGAGACUGGAAUACUUGGUGUAGCAGUGAAAUGCGUAGAUAUCAGGAGGAACACCGGUGGCGAAGGCGGGUCUCUGGGAAGUAACUGACGCUGAGAAGCGAAAGCGUGGGUGGCAAACAGG